ensembl:misc_RNA Y_RNA Y RNA
GGCUGGCCUGUUGUGCAGUGGUGUUUAUAACUAACUGAUCACACUAACAAGUUAGAGAUUUCUUUCUUUGUUCUCCGCUCCCAUUGCUUCAUUUGACUAGCCUAAA